rnacentral:rRNA from 1 species
UACAGAGGGGGCAAGCGUUGUCCGGAUUUACUGGGCGUACAGCGCGCGCAGGCGGCCCAUGAUGUGCCGUGUGACACUCCGUCGCUCAACGACGGACGGACAGGGUAGACAGGUGGGCUGGAGGCAGGGAGAGGGUCGUGGAAUACCCGGUGGAGCGGUGAAAUGCGUAGAGAUCGGGUGGAACACCAGCGGCGAAGGCGGCGACCUGGCCCUGGCCUGACGCUGAGGCGCGAGAGCGUGGGGAGCAAACAGG